CCAAAAUGGCAUGUUUUAAGAUACCACCUACUCCUGAGUCGGAGGCUCUUUCUUUCUAAACUGAAGACUCCCGGCCUACAACUAAUGGCACUUGGAGAAGAGAGUGAGACUACGACACUACGAUUUAUCAUCUGACAAAUGCUAUUAAUGCAGUCAGGAUGUAUGGGGAUUCUCAGACCAUGUCUCGCCUUGUUGAACGAUCUUCAGCUGAAUUUGUCCACAACGACUAAUAUCAAUGUGGGCCUCCAUCAUACAUUGAAAUUUUGAUACUCUAAGAGAAAUUGGAAUUCCAGGACCUGAGAACAAUAUUGUUUUCCAGAGUGGGUGACCACUGGAGAUUUAUCAAAGGCAAGCUAUAGGACCAGAGUGGAUCAGUCCCUUUUCCAUGAAGGCAACUGGAUAUAGAACAUUGGAUUCCAAGUCCUAGGGGGUAUCAGAAAUAGAAAAUGGAAGGUGACUGUAUGCAUGGAUCACAGCCUGGGAAGAGUCAACUAUAUAAAUGAGAACACAGACUUUACCAGAGCAAGAAAUAAACUUCUCU